CGGCGUUUCAGUUCAGCGGAUUACGCUUCCUUCGUAAAUACUGAGGAGAAAUGGAUAUUAACAGUCUUGGCCUCCUGCAGAUCCAUACAUGCCUCCCUGCUGGUCUUCACAAGGUCCUAGUUUGUCCUUGGUCACCCUUUUACUGGAACAGUGGAAAACACGUCAUCACUUUUACAGCGUUCCCUUUCCUGAAGUACAAGAUGCAAACCUUCUAAUUCAGAGAUCAUCUACAAUAAUCCAACAGCCGGACACACUACUUAGGACAUGAGAUGACAAGGGAGAUAAGUAAACAAUGGACUGGCAUCAAGGUACCACAGAAGACAAUGACAUUCCUACAGCAGCACAGGGCUGUGUUCUAGGCUCUUGUCUGAUCUAAACAUGUACAUACAAACUGUCGAACUAAUGCUGUAAAUACACCAAUCAUUACUGCAUCAUCAAAUAAAGUUAUUGACUCUGUCAUGGACAGUCCCAAAGCUGGAUGUGAAAGGAGGAGGGUUGAGCAUGUAGCUAGUGAAAACCCAGAGCUACAGAAACACCAGAACUGCCUCUGGAGUUUCAACCCUGGAAGAGGAGGGGCAUUUGAGAAUGGGCUACAUCUGGGGACAAAUUGAAGUACAGAGGACGCUGGUAAGCUGCUGAUGACAGUCUAUGCCCCAGGAGGGAUGAUGGUCACAACCUCAUUGGUACCAUAACUCCACAUUAAGAGGUACUGACCACGUGUAACAAUAUCAUGAGCUUCUUUGUCAGUGAGGCAACUUUCUCAGCAAGUUUCCAACAUCAAGAUUACAUUGGAAAUUAAAGCUCUCACAAAAAUGUCAAUAGACUAUUUGAUAUAUUUAAUACAUGCUUCUAAAGAAAUCUUUUCAGGAAG